UAAGCGGAGGAAAAGAAACUAACAAGGAUUCCCCUAGUAACGGCGAGUGAAGCGGGAAGAGCUCAAAUUUGAAAUCUAGUAGCCUUCGGCUGCUCGAGUUGUAAUCUAGAGAAGUGUUUUCCGUGCCGGCCCAUGUACAAGUCCCUUGGAACAGGGCGUCAUAGAGGGUGAGAAUCCCGUCCUUGACAUGGACCCCCGGUGCUCUGUGAUACACUUUCAACGAGUCGAGUUGUUUGGGAAUGCAGCUCAAAAUGGGUGGUGAAUUCCAUCUAAAGCUAAAUAUUGGCGAGAGACCGAUAGCGAACAAGUACCGUGAGGGAAAGAUGAAAAGCACUUUGGAAAGAGAGUUAAACAGUACGUGAAAUUGUUGAAAGGGAAACGAUUGAAGUCAGUCAUGCUCUUUGGUAUUUAUAUCAUUGAGUGGGGUCAACAUCAGUUUUGAGCGAUGGAUAAAGGCACUAGGAAGGUAGCACUCUCGGGUGAACUUAUAGCCUAGCGUCAUAUACAUUGUUUGGGACUGAGGAACGCAGCAUGCCUUUAUGGCCGGGAUUCGUCCACGUACAUGCUUAGGAUGUUGACAUAAUGGCUUUAAACGACCCGUCUUGAAACACG
rnacentral:rRNA from 1 species